rnacentral:piRNA from 1 species
UAGCCAACCCUGCAAUCUUCUCUUAAUGGA